UUUCUGGUUGAUCCCGCCGGAGGUUACUGCUAUCGGUGUUCGCCUAAGCCAUGCGAGUCAUAUGUUCUUCGUGAACAUGGCGUACUGCUCAGUAGCACGUGGAUAACCUGCCCUUGGGUCUGGGAUAACCCCGGGAAACUGGGGAUAAUACCGGAUAACGCAUAUAUGCUGGAAUGCUUUAUGCGUAAAAUGGAUUCGUCUGCCCAAGGAUGGGUCCGCGGCCUAUCAGGUAGUAGUGGGUGUAAUGUACCUACUAGCCUACAACGGGUACGGGUUGUGAGAGCAAGAGCCCGGAGAUGGAUUCUGAGACAUGAAUCCAGGCCCUACGGGGCGCAGCAGGCGCGAAAACUUUACAAUGCGGGCAACCGUGAUAAGGGAACCUCGAGUGCCUGUAAAUGCAGGCUGUUUAGGUGUUUAAAACGCACCUGGAGAAAGGGCCGGGCAAGACCGGUGCCAGCCGCCGCGGUAAUACCGGCGGCUCGAGUGGUGGCCACUUUUAUUGGGCUUAAAGCGUUCGUAGCUGGGUUGUUAAGUCUCUUGGGAAAUCUGGCGGCUUAACCGUCAGGCGUCUAAGGGAUACUGGCAAUCUUGGAACCGGGAGAGGUGAGGGGUACUUCGGGGGUAGGAGUGAAAUCCUGUAAUCCUCGAGGGACCACCUGUGGCGAAGGCGCCUCACCAGAACGGCUUCGACAGUGAGGGACGAAAGCUGGGGGAGCAAACCGGAUUAGAUACCCGGGUAGUCCCAGCCGUAAACUAUGCGCGUUAGGUGUAUCGGUGACCACGAGUUACCGAGGUGCCGAAGGGAAACCGUGAAACGUGCCGCCUGGGAAGUACGGUCGCAAGGCUGAAACUUAAAGGAAUUGGCGGGAA
rnacentral:rRNA from 1 species